rnacentral:rRNA from 1 species
UCCGGUUGAUCCUGCCAGAGGCCGCUGCUAUCCGGCUGGGACUAAGCCAUGCUAGUCUAGGGGCUUGUACUCCUUCGGGGGCGCAAGCACCGGCGGACGGCCCAGUAACACGUGGACAACCUGCCCUCGGGUGGGGGAUAACCCCGGGAAACUGGGGCUAAUCCCCCAUAGGUGAUGGGUGCUGGAAUGCCCCAUCUCCGAAAGCGCUUAGCGCCCGAGGAUGGGUCUGCGGCGGAUUAGGUAGUUGGUGGGGUAACGGCCCACCAAGCCUAAGAUCCGUACGGGCUGUGGGAGCAGGAGCCCGGAGAUGGACCCUGAGACAAGGGUCCAGGCCCUACGGGGCGCAGCAGGCGCGAAACCUCCGCAAUGCGGGAAACCGCGACGGGGUUAGCCGGAGUGCCCGUGCAUUGCACGGGCUGUCGGGGUGCCUAAACAGCACCCCAUAGCAAGGGCCGGGCAAGGCCGGUGGCAGCCGCCGCGGUAAGACCGGCGGCCCGAGUGGCGGCCACUCUUAUUGGGCCUAAAGCGUCCGUAGCCGGCCCAGUAAGUCCCCCGGGAAAUCUGGUCGCUUAACGAUCAGACUUCCGGGGGAUACUGCUGGGCUAGGGACCGGGAGAGGCCGAGGGUAUUCCCGGGGUAGGGGUGAAAUCCUGUAAUCCCGGGAGGACCACCUGU